CCACAGCCUAUGAUGCCACCUUAUGGAGCACCUUACGCAGCAGUGUAUUCACAUGGAGGAGUUUAUGCACAUCCAGCAGUUCCAAUUGGAUCACAUCCUCAUGUUCCUGGUGUCCCAUCGCCUCCUGCUGCUGCAACACCUGUGAGUGUAGAAACACCUACAAAGUCUAUUGGAAAUACAGAUCAAGGUUUAAUGAAGAAGUUGAAAAGAUUUGAUGGGCUUGCAAUGUCAAUAGGCAAUGUGAGUAGUAAUGCGGAGAGUGCUGAGGGUGGGGACCACGAGCUGUCUCAGAGUGUGGAGACUGAAGGUUCUAGUGAUGGAAGCGAUGGAAAUACGGCUGGGGGAAGGAAAAGGAGUCGGGAGGGGAAACCAACUAUUGGUGGAGAGAUGAAAACGGAGAUGCAGGCCAGUAUUGUUCCUACUGGGGAGGUCAAUGGAUCUUCUGAUAAGGUAUUGGGUGCUGCUGUCGCUUCUGCUGGUGUUUCAGGAAAAUCUCCAGGAUCUGUAGUUUCUCCUGGCACGAGCACAGCAUUGGAACUCAGGAACCCUCCUCUGAAUGCUGCUAAGACAAGUGCAACUAGCAUUCCACAACCUUGUCAAGUUCUGCCUU
rnacentral:misc_RNA from 1 species